CUUGAACUUAAUCUUUUUAUCUUCCGUUUAUCAAUGCCUUGACUGGAUUGUUAAUCGAGAAAAUUAUCUAGAAUCCGAAAUAAAGAGAGUCUCAAACCCAACCCAAGUUUUCGUUAAUUUGUUUUUCAGAAACUCCAAUUUCAGUUUCGAUUGUCUUUUUGCAUUUCUUUUUAUUUUCACCUCUUAUAAUCGACACCAUGUUACCCAAAAACCAAAAAAAUCUCAUAAAUGCUUUGAUAACCCAUUGUCCCUGUGGAAUACGAUCCUGGACUUAUCCUUGAUACAACUUGACACUUCUGCACUUGGAAGCACAUUCUCGAGACGAGUCAAGUUUUUGGCGCCGUUGCCGGGGACAACUGGUGUUUAUCAGAGCAUUCAUCUACUGCUGAGAGGACGUUCGUGGAGCUGUGAAUCUCUUCACAGCCUAGUUCAAAUAAAUCCAAUUGGAACUGUUGACCGAAGAGAAAGACCUUCAUCUGUCUUGUUGUUCUCAACCAAUCCGAUUCCAAGGUUAAGGAUGGCUAACUGUGUGUCAGAUGCUGUACAUGUUGAAGAUGGAGUUGAUCACACCCAUUCUACUAUUUAAUCAUAUGAUGACGAUAAUUUAAUCAUAUGCUCAGUUACAAGUUGAUGUCAAAAUCCAAAUGAAAAGGGCCACUUGGUCACUCGGACACCACAUGCUCACAUGCGAGGAUGAACGAGCUUGCUUUACUUUUGUUUUCGAGUAGCAGCUGGGGGACAUAGAGAGAUUCGGUGGGAGAAUGAGUGGGGUGUGCUGAUUAGAAUAGAGAGAAGUGUUAGCUGAGGCUGACUCAUUAAAGCCGAUGGGAAGAGAACGUGAACCGAAUCUUGAGUGGAGAGAAAAGAAGAUGGUAAUGAUUCCCUUGAGUGGAGAGA